CGGAGGGUGCGAGCGUUGUUCGGAAUUAUUGGGCGUAAAGCGCGUGUAGGCGGCUCCUUAAGUCUGAUGUGAAAGCCCCGGGCUCAACCUGGGAAGUGCAUUGGAAACUGGGGAACUUGAAUACGGGAGAGGGUAGUGGAAUUCCUGGUGUAGGAGUGAAAUCCGUAGAUAUCAGGAGGAACACCGGUGGCGAAGGCGGCUACCUGGACCGAUAUUGACGCUGAGACGCGAAAGCGUGGGGAGCAAACAGGAUUAGAUACCCUGGUAGUCCACGCCGUAAACGAUGAGUACUAGGUGUUGCGGGUAUUGACCCCUGCAGUGCCGCAGCUAACGCAUUAAGUACUCCGCCUGGAAGUACGGUCGCAAGACUA
rnacentral:rRNA from 1 species